rnacentral:misc_RNA from 1 species
AUGCGAUACGUAAUGUGAAUUGCAGAAUUCAGUGAAUCAUCGAAUCUUUGAACGCAUAUUGCGCUCUCUGGUAUUCCGGAGAGCAUGCUUGUUUGAGUAUCAGUAAACACCUCAACUCUUUUUUCUUUUUUGAAAUUGGAGCUGGACUUGAGUGAUCCCAACGCUUUCUUCCAAGAAAGUGGCGGGUUGCUUGAAAUGCAGGUGCAGCUGAACUUUUCUCUGAGCUAUAAGCAUAUCUAUUUAGUCUGCCUAAAAAACAGAUUAUUACCUUUGCUGCAGCUAACAUAAAGGAGACUAGUUCUUGUGCUGACUGAUGCAGGAUUCACAGAGACAGCUUCGGCUGACUUUGUAAACUCGAUCUCAAAUCAAGUAAGACUACCCGCUGAACUUAA